rnacentral:rRNA from 1 species
UACGGGGGGUGCGAGCGUUGUCCGGAAUCACUGGGCGUAAAGCGCACGUAGGCGGUCUGUUAUGUCGGAUGUGAAAGCCCUUGGCUCAACUGAGGAAGUGCAUCCGAAACUGGCAGGCUAGAGUACUAAAGAGGGUCGCGGAAUUCCGGUGUAGAGGUGAAAUUCGUAGAUAUCGGGAGGAACACCGGUGGCGAAGGCGGCGACCUGGGUAGAUACUGACGCUGAGGUGGCGAAAGCGUGGGGAGCAAACAGGGAUUAAGAAACCCC